UAUAUUUUUAAAUUUUAUAAUGAAGCAAUAUUUGCAUAAUUUACCAAAAUUGCUGCUUGUUCUGCCCAUGAUGUGUUAUGUUUUAAAUGUAUAUAUACAAAAUGAAUCGGAAGAUCUCAAGCGUCGCAAGCAGCAGGCCGAGCUAGCCAAAUCAAAGAAUGAGAAAUAAGCAGUCAGGGCAUCCUGUAUGUCAGCGGCUGCAACUUCAAUUUUUUUCAUUUAUUGCAAGGAAGUAAAUGUACACAAAUUACCCUCGGCCAGCGACUUAUCGACGAGCACGGAUAAUGACGACAGCGCAGCAAAAAGCACAACACAACUGAAACGGAAACAGAAGUCAAGGUGCAACGCGAAAUCCAUACACCUGUUCCUAACCGUCGUUGCCACGUUUGGCCACAGUGAGUGUAGAAAGCGUAGAAAUCGUAUGCAGGAUGAGCAGACACAAAAAUCGAAUGUGCAACAUAUAUUUGGGUUAAUUUUUCGAAUGGCAAGCUGCAAGCGGAUCUAAGCAGAAGGGUGAAUAUUUGGUCAUUGGUCACGCAGCGUUGCACACACACACAGUUUGUUGCACGUUGCAUGUGGCAGGCGACACAAAAUGCAAGCAUAUCAAAAUUAAUAAAAAGUAUACACGCUUGGGCCGUUAAUGAGCAGUCAGCCAGUCAGCCAGUCAGCCAGCCAGCCAGCCCAGCCCAAUGUGAUAUGCAUCUGCAACAGGUCAAUGCUGCAGCUGCAGCUGCAACUGCAACAAGUUACAGUUACAUUUCAGGGCUGUGGAUUUGCACACAAAAUUGUAUUUUAAUUGUCGCUGUUAAUUGUGAAAUGUAAUUUUGGCUCACAUUAUUUACAUUUUAUUCAUAACUUGA